rnacentral:lncRNA from 1 species
CCAGAAAAGGGAUUGUGGAUUGCAAAUUAAUGAAAUUAACCUAAUCUUUCCCAUUCAGCGGCCCCGCCGCGGGCUGGCCGAGUUGGGCGGGCUUCCUAAUUGCUCGGGUUAAUCUCAUUAAUUCCAUUGUGCGGCGCAGUUAACAACUCCCGCCGCCCCACCUCUCCGCCCCCACCCCUUUUUCUCAGAUUGGGUCCUAUUAUUGGGUGCGAUUUCCUCUGCAAGAAACUCCAAUUCAUUGUGGCCAGUUUUACUUUAGGGCUACUUUUUGCCCCAUUUCGGAACUUGGUUUGUUUCAGAACAUGCAGAGGGGCUGCUACGUCCUUUCUCAAGAUUAAAAAGUUCGCUCUUCCUCCGGACCCGCAAGCCCUCACCGCCAAAUUUCUCCUCUAUUUUUUUUUUUUUUUAAAUCUCGAGAUUCUCUCCCGAGUGGAACUGGUUAACCCCACCCCCAACCCUUUUGUUUUUGCAAAGGCCAAAAUUUGUAAAAGCGAAAUCGACGAAAGAGGUGCGUUGUGGUUCUUAAAAUAUGUGUAUCUAUUUUUUCCGCAGGCACUUUGGGUCUGAAAAUUACUUUAGGAAUCCGAAGGCCCCUACCCAGCAGAGACCAAAUUCAGCCGCUCAUUAGACUUCGCCACCCAGAGUAGCACGCUUCAGCGAUGCUUCCAGCUGCUCCCCGCGAGAGUGUCGGCCCCGGCUGGGCUCUCCAGCCCCAGCGGCCUGGCAGAAAGCGGGCUCUGCUCGCGGCAGGCGGCCGCGGCACCGGCUGUCCGCCGGAUCUGCUGGAGACGCAUCCAGACCACGACGGUGCGCGGGCGACAGAACGCCCUUCGAGAAGGGCAAUUGAUGGAAGACGACUAGAGGCUGCCACUCCCGUAGUGAGUCUUGGCCACGUUUGUGUUCCCCGCCGGACGCUCUGGGCAGCGCGUGCCUUAGUAGAUCUUUUAAGACCUCUGUUGAACCGGGCGGAGGCAGAAGCGCUGCAGAAAACCGAGGCAGAUCCCCAGUCCAUUUCUGUGAAGUUGCUCAAACUGGCAAGGCGCGGAUACACGUCAGCCAGGUUUCUAAAAAGAGCGCUUUCCAGUUUUUAAAUAAAGCGACCUCACCACGCACGCGUCAGCCUCCUUCCACUUGGUACACUGUUCUUUUUAAUAAUCAGAUUUAGCAAACCCCUAGAUUUCGUCCCUUGCUUUUCUGCAGUGUGCUCUUGGUACCAUCCGAUUCCUGGAAGGAAGAGCACUGUACAAGGAGUCUGAGCGUCAGAGCUCUCGUCCCAUCGUUGCCACCUUGCAAAUUUUGCCCCCUCUAGGUCUCCGGGUUUUUGUAUUUUGUUUUUGUUUUGUUUUGUUUUAGUUGAUGGAACCAACGCCAGCAAUCACUGGGUCCCUUACAACUUUAAGAAUUAACGAGGCUGGGUAAUUGUCGCCCCUUCCCCUGGGGUACUGAGGGUAGACCUGGGGCAUUUUUCUAGUUCUUUUCCCUGGGGCAAAGGAGCUUGCUAUCCCCACCCCCUCCGAGGGCAGGGUCUCUAUCAGCUGGGUCCAGGAUGAGGAAAAGGGAGUCUGAAAGCUCUGUCCUCUUGCAGAAGGGACUUUCUGGGACCAGACAGGGAACCAAUCGCCACCGUACCCCGGAGAUUCGGCUAUUCUUUUUCUCAAGGAGCUCCCCGUCCUGCUUGCCCCUCAAUCUGCUGGCUGCACGGUGUCCGCGGGGAAGCGGAAGCCCCGGGAAGGCGGUGCGCCUUGCGGUGCCCCGCACUGAGUGCCCUCCACGGCCAAAACCCACAAGUGUCCGCCCGGCACUAAACAAACAAUCAGAGGGCUUGCGUCGCGAGGCGCAAUUGGAAUAACAAAUGCAACACACGCAAAUUGCCCGCCUCCUGUUCCUAAGCGAUUGUUUGUCGGCCUGCAGGCUCCGCUCAGCAGGGGAGGACCGGGAGCGUCCGGAGGCGGCCAGCAAGCGCCUUGGUCGGACAUCCAGUAAACAUGCCGCUGAUUUUACUUAUUAUCACCCAAACACGAUUUCACACAAAGCAAUCACCAUGCCAGAAGUCUAUGAAAAUGUGUUCGUUGAGGAAUCAGUCGCCCCGGUAAUAGUCCUCAUUUUUAAUAUAUUAAAGAACAGAUCAGCGGAUUGCGAGUGCGUAAGGUAUGCGUGCGGUUGGGUAUCUGUCAAGGCGCUUUUUUCCCUCCACAAUCAUCGCUAAAUUGACUCGUAGAGCAUAGAUUAAAUUGCCUCUCUGAUUUAAAACAGAGUGCCCAAAUUUGGAGUGUGCGUCUGGAUAUCGCCUCGGACCCGAGAGGUUCUCAUCUUGGUGGGAACUGUUGCCCACUGUCCUUCUGCACACGCAUGCACGCACGGCUGUUCCAAAAAUAUGCACAUGCGGUCCUAACUUCUUGAGGUUUCGGGAACUUUCUUAAUUCUUUCGGCCUCUCACUCGAUCGCAGCUCAUAAUCGAAUGCCCUUAAGAAGGAUUUUUCGCGGCUUGGGCAAAAAGUUGGCUUGUCCUUUUCAAAGGAAGGGUGAAUUAGCUGGGGCAGAGGAAUGUGGAACAAUGAGCAGACCGGGCUGUGGCCGGUGCGCAGCGUGGAGACCCCCAUCCACGCCUUCACAGCGCAAAUCGGCUUUAUUGUCUGUAGACGGGCUUAAAAAAAAAAAAAAUCCAGUGCCUCGAAAUCGUGUUCAAGCCCCAGUUCUCGGCCCUGCGCCUUGGAGGACACCUCCCGUAGUCCCUGGGGGUUCCCGUGUGAGGUCGGGUGGGUGGCUGAGGGCCCCAGGGGCAGAUCCCACCGCGCCCUAAGAGGCAAGUGCACACAAGGGCUGGAUCUCCCGCACGCGUUCAAGAGUGAUGUAGGGACGCUUACUAGCUGAGUUUUGCUCCAAGUUUUGCAACAUUGCAAAUAAGCGCUCUGAGCCCCUGAGGAUGAAAUAAUCAAGGUGUUAGGAAAACUCAGCAUAACUUGGGGGGUGGGGCGGGAAGGGUGGGAGGAGGAGGACGAGGGUGUCGAAAAAUGACGUCUUCCCAAAGCAUCAGAAAAAAUAGCCCCGGGUUUCUAGGGUUGCAGAAACCCGCUCUCAGCAGAGCUGUUUACCAAAGUUGGUUUCAAAGUGACUUGCACCGUUGCUUUUGCAAAUCAUAGAAUGCAAAUGACGAUAAUUUGUUCUCGGUGGAACUUUCUCUUGAAAUGAUUAGCGGAGUCAGUCAUUUGAAAAUGAGAGCGAAUGCACAGACGGUUCCCGAAGCCCCUCGCUAACCGAUAGCAGCUUCUAAAGUUUUCAUUCAUGUAAACCUCAUUAAUGAAGAUCUUUUAUUUAAACGUCAAGGGGAUUUGAAAUUUAGAGUAAAUUAUGAAGCUUGUAUGUCUAGCCAAGUCAUGGGUCAAAUGCAUUUGUGAAAAACUGCUAAAAGAGCAUAUGGUUUUGAAUUUUUCUACAAUGACUAGUGUUUAAAUAAAUUGCUUGUACUGCUUAACUUCA